UUGUUCUUGAGCUCCUUAUAGGAAUUCAGUAAAACCCUUAUUGGAAUUCAAUAAAUGCCUUUAAACAUAAUUUAGUACUUGACAGAUGUACUUCGUUCUGGUUCAUCCUUUCAAACGCGUGCCCUCUAUCAUUUCUUCAAUUGUCAAACCAUGCAAUUUGUCGCCAUGCCUACGUCAUAUCAUCUGACAUUUACUUCUCUUUAACAUAUCCAUAAGUGGUAUACGUGUCGUUUUGCUUUGAAACGUCUAUAUUUGUUCUUCUUUUGUUCCGUUUUUUUUUUUUUUUUUGCGUCUCUCUAACAACGCAUAGUAGAGCCUUCGGCUUAUUUCAUAGCCUUUGUUGUUCACUAUCCAAAUCUCAUAUCCACGCAAACUCACAUUUCAGACAAAAGUUUUGACACAGUAUAUAUUUGCUUGAUUAAUUUGUAUAAAAUAAUAAUAAUUAUGAUACAUUUUUAAGGUAUGAAAACCUGCAUUAUAGUGUAUACUAGACGG